ACGCUCGACACCUACGGGAGCAGCAGUGGGGAAUAUUGCACAAUGGGGGAAACCCUGAUGCAGCGACGCCGCGUGAAGGAAGAAGUAUUUCGGUAUGUAAACUUCUAUCAGCAGGGAAGAAGAUGACGGUACCUGACUAAGAAGCCCCGGCUAACUACGUGUCAGCAGCCGCGGUAAUCUGAGCGGGCUGGCAAGGC
rnacentral:rRNA from 1 species